AUUGAACGCUGGCGGCAGGCCUAACACAUGCAAGUCGAACGAGUGGCGGACGGGUGUGUAAUGUCUGGGAAUCUGCACGAUGGAGGGGGAUAACUUCUGGAAACGGUAGCUAAUACCGCAUACCAUUGGAUGUGCCCAGAUGGGAUUGGAUUGUAGGUGGGGUAACGGCUCACAUAGGCGACGACCCCUAGCUGGUCUGAGAGGAUGACCAGCCACACGGGAACUGAGACACGGUCCAGACUCCUACGGGAGGCAGGAGUGGGGAAUAUUGCACAAUGGGCGCAAGCCUGAUGCAGCCAUGACGCGUGUAUGAAGAAGGCCUUCGGGUUGUAAAGUACUUUCAGCGAGGAGGCGUUACUCGCAGAAGAAGCACCGGCUAACUCCGUGCCAGCCGCCGCGGUAAUUC
rnacentral:rRNA from 1 species